AACGAACGCUGGCGGCAUGCCUAACACAUGCAAGUCGAACGAGACCUUCGGGUCUAGUGGCGCACGGGUGCGUAACGCGUGGGAACCUGCCCUUAGGUUCGGAAUAACUCCCCGAAAGGGGUGCUAAUACCGGAUAAUGUCUUCGGACCAAAGAUUUAUCGCCUUUGGAUGGGCCCGCGUUGGAUUAGCUAGUUGGUAGGGUAAAAGCCUACCAAGGCGACGAUCCAUAGCUGGUCUGAGAGGAUGAUCAGCCACACUGGGACUGAGACACGGCCCAGACUCCUACGGGAGGCAGCAGGGGGGAAUAUUGGACAAUGGGCGAAAGCCUGAUCCAGCAAUGCCGGGUGAGUGAUGAAGGCCUUAGGGUUGUAAAGCUCUUUUACCCGGGAUGAUAAUGACAGUACCGGGAGAAUAAGCCCCGGCUAACUCCGU
rnacentral:rRNA from 1 species